CCAACCUGGGCGACAGCGAAAUUCUGUUUCAAAAAAUGAAAUGAAAUGAAAUGAAAUGAAAUAAAAAACCGAAGGUCUUCAGAGCACCUCCGACCAGCGGAGGUUAAAGCUCAUCUACAACAGCUUGCAGCAAACUUGCUUUGAUAAACAGUCUGGGGCCAGGAGGUACCCACAGUCCUAGUUACGCCAAAUUCAGGCCAAAGGGCGACCUGUGUCCGUGCUCCUGACAAACUUCCAGCCCCCAUUGCCCAUCGGAGCCUCAUCCAGGUGUCCCCAUCUAAAGGCUGCGCAGGGCGGGUGCCACAAAAUGAGGCGCGUUUUGCAAACAAACGCGGCGGUUGCUCCAAGGUCUCGAGUAACCGAUUAGCAAAACCCAGGUCUUCCCACUUAGGGAAGAUGGCCCAAGAGCAAGAAGGCGAAACAAGAGGCCACCGGACCCGCGGAGCCCUGAGCUCAGAUGUCGCGCACUGCUGGGCGCCGUCUCUGACUCCCGGAGCCCAGAUGCGCGCUGGGACUUGGUGCAAUCCAGCUCCACGGCCGCGUGUCCCACAACACCCUUCACGUCCGUUCCUCGGUUUCCCCACCUUGGGAAGGCCAAGACUUCCCAGGCUUUAGGGGGCAGGAAGCUGCGAGAAAGUGGCGCUUGCUUAGGUGAGGCGCGAAGGAUGGCAUUAGGGAGAGGAAGGUUACUGGAACCUUCCUGGCCAUGGACGACCGCUGGGUUCUAGGCGCCUGCUAGCCCCAGCGGUUGACGGUCAUGUGAUACGCCCUAGUGUACCUUUCCUGCAGCGUGUUAUGUGACGCACAGAGAACGUCGCUUCCAGAGGACCAUUUUUUUUCGUAACUGACAGUAGUAAUCUGGCAGUUUACACUCUCAUUGCCUGUAUUGCCUCUCACCUUUUUAGCCAGGCUCUUGACCUGCCCGGCCAGAAAGUUGCCAUUGGGGUAAGGUGGACCGCGAGGGGGAAUAGGGAAGGGUCUCAGCAGUUUCUGCACAAGUCUUCCACACCAGAUUCCGGACGCGGCAGAUAGGGAAAGCAAGGGCUAGUAAGGCAGUUUCCUCUUGUGUUCCCUAUUCUUGUUGAGACUGUAGGUGUGGUGGAGUGAGCCUCUGGCUGACCUUUGUCCCUCCUGCCAAGACUUUCUUGCAGGACUAUUCCUCACCCAGUGGAUGAGUUUGCCUACUUGGUCGGUGACAGUACAGUGACCACAACCAAGGAUUUGACAAGGGGAUCUUACUACUUGCAACAAACAGCUGACAUGAUGGUCUGUGACCUGAAGGUUAUUGAAUAGUUGGAGUGUUCUGCAUUCAUGUGGAAGAGGCUAAAGGAUGUUUGAUGAAGCACUAUGGGCUGCCCUGGAAGAGGACUGAAGAAGCAGCUGCAGAACAAAGCCUUCCUGCCUUCCUGGGAAAGAAAACUCCAUUGUAUGCUUUUCAAGCUGC